rnacentral:pre_miRNA from 1 species
AAAAUUCUUGCCUUAGAUUUGUCUAAACGUGGAUGUAUCAAGUCAUGUUUUAGUAUUAGAUACAUCCAUAUCUAGACGAAUCUAAGACAAGAAUUUU